GCCUGUUUGGUGCAGUGGGUAGCAUGUGGUCCUAAAGUCGCCUUCGCGUAUCAUCGGUUUGCCAAACUUUCUAGAUCAAGACCUUGGUUCGAUCCCAAGAUCAGGCC